CUCUCCUAAUCCCAGAAUAAAGGAAUUACUCACUCAUGGUGAGUUUAACAAACAUAAAGAAAAUAAAAUGAAAGAACAUAAAAAGUCUGCUUAAAGAAAUAAAACAAAAGAACCAAAGAGAAUCUGCAGCUUUGAUCUUUUGGAACUUCAGCUGAGGGUUUCUCCUUGAUGCCAAUGCACUAUUCUUCUAAACGGUUGUGUGAAAAUAGUGAAGGUCAAAAAAGCUCUCCCUCUUGUUAUCUGCUGCCUCUAUUUAUAAUGAUUGGGCUAAGGUUAGGUUUUUAGAGUCCUUAAGGCAUAAGGAGUCUCUUUUCUCUGUAGAAACUGAAGCUAGAAUCGAGUUGGGAAACCGGCUACCGCACGAUACACGGCACGUGCAUCACUACAUAGCCUUGGGUCGUGUAACUUACUGGAGCUUGAUUGGUUGCAUCUUGCAUCGGUACAGGAGUUUUCACGGUCUUCAGGUAGUUACACGAGCCUGAUAACACAGUCCGUGUACUUUUGUAUUUCAGGGAAAUCUUCAAGCUUGGCCCAGCAGAGACUUACACAAGUAUUCAUAUUUUACAUGGGGCACAGAACAUGGCCCGUGUACUUCGAUUCUUCUUUGGUUCUUUGUCUUUCUCCUGGCAGUAAGUUACAUGGAUCUAUGGCUUUGAUUACAUGACUCGUGUAAAUUGUAUCAGCAACAUUUCUCAAUUCUUUGGCCUUUCCAAGUCUUCAACUUUGUUCUCGUGCCUUGGGACCUCUUCAAAACACGCGUACGAAACUCAUAUUUGCAACGAGGAAGAAGUGGCCAAAAUUUUUAUAUGAACCGUAUAUCCAGUCUCAGCUGCUAUCAAAUCAGAAUUUUAAUUUUGGAUAGGAAAUUGCUUAGAUCUCCAAGAUUCUCUAAAUUGAACUGCCUUGCAAACUGUAACUGUAUAAGAGCUCAAGGUCUCCAAUCACCAGCUUUGAAUUUUUACCAACCCAGAAUAAAGAGCCGAAAUCAAACACAGUAAGACUAGAGAGAAGGAUGCAGCGACGUGAGAAUGAAGAGAUGGGGUUUGAGAGCUUGCAAGGGAGAGUGAAAUGUUGGCAUCACCACGUAAGCUCUGAAGGACGAAAUAAAGCUGAGGCACGAUGGGAGAAAAGUGGAAAGAACCUUUGAGAGGCGAGAGGUAGAUGAGAGGGAGUUAAUAUUUUUCUGAGAAAAGGAAUUUUUGCAGAUGGCCACUGUGAACCG
rnacentral:misc_RNA from 1 species